GGCCAAACCACCUUUCCCCUUUGCCAGGGCUCCCUGAUCAGUUCUGCCCAUGUGCUACUAAGGGAAACGGUAAGGCUGGAGGAGGGAAAGGGGACACCACCCUUCUCUUUGCACACUGCUUAUGCCAGCAGCAUCCGAGCAAUACCGCUUGCCCUGUAGUGCUUCUUGAGUCGGAUUUCAGUUCAGUGUCUGGGUUUUUGAACAUUUCUAUAACCAUUCUCCCUCCUCAAUAGCACUCCCACAUCAGAAGCUGAGUCCCAGCUCCCUGACUUCUCCAGAUCCUAGAACUAUCAGCACCAGCAGCAGCACACAUUCCAUUCCUGUGGGGCUUGGCUCUGUGAGGCUCCUCUCAGCUCCCAGAUUCUCCCAACACAACUUCUUUCCUUUGUUCCCCCAGACUUCGAGCAGGUCAUUUCUUGCUAUGCCUGUCUAACCCCUUCCCUAAAUUCAAUUCUCUCUGUUAAGAUAACCAGUAUGUUUCUGCUUUCCAGUCUGGAUUCUGAUUGAUACACAAAAGCUGCAUUCCCACAUCAAGGGAACUGCGAGUGUUCACCCUCCGUGGUAAGGGGAGACUGGGAGACCCCACAAAAGCAUCCCAAGAGAGGAAGAGUCCCUUUACACACCUGCUGCCCCGUGUGUGGAUGCCCACUGAGCACGGAAGUUGUCAAGUAAGAACUCUCAACUCCCUAGUGUUCCAAAUCCCAGUUCUGGUGGAGUCAGGUAUUACAGUCAUAGCAGAGCAGAGGACCUUAGCAGCCCUAGGCAGAGAGGGGCUGAAGAAGCCAACCAAGGCUUCAGGUGUAGUUGGAGAAAGAAGUCUCAGCCUCGAUCAAGUUUUCAGGUUGGAUUAAUACAUGGGAAUGAACUGUUACGUAUCUGCUAUAUUGUUUUUGUGAUAUCAAGUAACCUGAUUUUUUACAUGUCCAAAAAAACAACAACAAAAAAGUAUUGAAGCCUACCUUAAAUUUCAUCUAGGGACAAAAGGAAGAACUAGCCCACCAAGCAGGUUUAAAGGGAGUGUCAGACACAAAAAUGACAUGCCCCAUAUUGCAGUCUAGAAGGAACAAUACGGUGAAUUGUCUACUGCAGAACACUUCACUCUGUCUCGAUUACUACAUGGUGAAUUGAAGUUUCAGUAGAGAGGGAGUUGAGCUGAUACUGAGGAGAUAAAUACCCAUCACUGUAUACAUCUACUUCUUGGAAUUUGCAAGGGAACCAGUCAACAGAUUUUUCAAGCCUUAUAAGUUUAUCCGCCUGAGAAGUUCACCAGCUACAUAACAUCCUGGACUCUGGAGCCCAAGAGAUGUGUAGUUGCCAUUUUGGAGCCAUUUUC
rnacentral:lncRNA from 1 species